rnacentral:lncRNA from 1 species
UGGAAGCCCAAUUCGGAUGUGAUCUGAGUUGGAUUAGGUUUAGAAGUACCAAUGGGCCUCAGACCCAGAGGCCCGUCAGGAACCUCUAUAAAUAGAGGGGUGGAGGCGCCCUAGGGUUUACACCUUUUCGGUGAAACACAUCUACCGCGCCUCCCAUGCCCUCGCCUGUUGCAACUCACAGACCUAGCAGUUCGGCUUGCGAUGCUUCCUCCCUGCAUGUGUGGAGACCUUGGAGGUGUU